rnacentral:rRNA from 1 species
GUCUAUGGCCAUACCACCCUGAAAGCACCGGAUCUCAUCUGAUCUCAGAAGCUAAGCAGGGUCAGUCUUGGUUAGUUACUUGGAUGGGAGAAAGUGAUAGAAGAUACAUACC